rnacentral:rRNA from 1 species
GUGAGGAAUAUUGGUCAAUGGGCGUAAGCCUGAACCAGCCAAGUAGCGUGAGGGAUGACGGCCCUAUGGGUUGUAAACCUCUUUUAUAUGGGGAUAAAGUGUGUGACGUGUCAUGCAUUGCAGGUACCAUAGGAAUAAGGACCGGCUAAUUCCGUGCCAGCAGCCGCGGUAAUACGGAAGGUCCAGGCGUUAUCCGGAUUUAUUGGGUUUAAAGGGAGCGUAGGCCGCUUUUUAAGCGUGUUGUGAAAUGUUGGGGCUCAACCCCAUCACUGCAGCGCGAACUGGAAGGCUUGAGAGUGCGCAACGCAGGUGGAAUUUGUGGUGUAGCGGUGAAAUGCUUAGAUAUCACGAAGAACUCCGAUUGCGAAGGCAACUUGCGGGAGCACGACUGACGCUGAAGCUCGAAAGUGCGGGUAUCGAACAGGAUUAGAAACCCGAGUAGUCC